GAUGGAAGGUGGCAAGAAGGGACAGGUGUUCCAGGUGCUAAAAAAGAAUGACGACGACGAUCUGGAGGGUGGGAUGUUCGGCGGCAUGGGUGGCGGGAAGAAGAAGAAGAAGGGCAAGGCACCUAAGCCAGAGCCGACACUGGA
rnacentral:ribozyme from 1 species